CGCGUGUGUGAAGAAGGCCUUCGGGUUGUAAAGCACUUUCAGUGAGGAAGAAAGCCUUGAGGCUAAUACCCUCGAGGGAGGACAUCACUCACAGAAGAAGCACCGGCUAACUCCGUGCCAGCAGCCGCGGUAAUACGGAGGGUGCGAGCGUUAAUCGGAAUUACUGGGCGUAAAGCGCGCGUAGGCGGCUUGAUAAGCCGGUUGUGAAAGCCCCGGGCUCAACCUGGGAACGGCAUCCGGAACUGUCAGGCUAGAGUGCAGGAGAGGAAGGUAGAAUUCCCGGUGUAGCGGUGAAAUGCGUAGAGAUCGGGAGGAAUACCAGUGGCGAAGGCGGCCUUCUGGACUGACACUGACGCUGAGGUGCGAAAGCGUGGGUAGCAAACAGGAUUAGAUACCCUGGUAGUCCACGCCGUAAACGAUGUCAACUAGCCGUUGGGCUCCUUGAGAGCUUUGUGGCGCAGUUAACGCGAUAAGUCGACCGCCUGGGGAGUACGGCCGCAAGGUUAAAACUCAAAUGAAUUGACGGGGGCCCGCACAAGCGGUGGAGCAUGUGGUUUAAUUCGAUGCAACGCGAAGAACCUUACCUACCCUUGACAUCGAGAGAACUUUCCAGAGAUGGAUUGGUGCCUUCGGGAACUCUCAGACAGGUGCUGCAUGGCUGUCGUCAGCUCGUGUUGUGAAAUGUUGGGUUAAGUCCCGUAACGAGCGCAACCC
rnacentral:rRNA from 1 species